GAUAAUCCAAUAUAGUGGGCGGAGGUAAUUGACCCCAUGUUGAUAGAAGCGCUGGAAGGAAACCAAGCAAACCGGGGGUGGAUGACUUCAUGAGUGGCAGUGAUCGGCAGCUGUUCUCUUGUUGAACAGCAGAGGGCAACGCCAACAAUCUCUUCUCUGUUUCACCAAACUGGGCUACAGGUCAUCGCCUUGAUGCUUCACAAAGGCUGUAAGAAACAACACACAGCAGGCCUUUGGACUGAAGAUGAAUAGCUGUGGUUGGCAGAGGCGACCUCCGUGCCGGACAGCCCGCUGUUAUCGCCACUGAUCGCCAGGUGCAUCAGCUGAAAGGCAACAGCAGCUUCCACUGGAGACAAUACACAAAAGAGCGUGGAAACACAAGCACACACAUACACGCACUGCCUAAAUUCAUAUGCAUUUUUUUUCACAGUAUAUAACAAAUGUCCACUGAGUCCACGGAGGGCAUUUUAUGGCAUCAAAAAGGCGCAUUAUUUAAUCCACCACACAAUGUAAUAAUACUUCAAUUGUGUUAUUAUCUGUAUUAUUAUUGUUGUUGUUGUUGUUAUUAUUGCUAUGAUGGCAGGUCAGGCCUCAGUAAAAUAUCACUUUGGGCUGUCUGCUUUAGGUUGCCUGUCUGUGUGUUGUUAUUGGACUGUGUGGAGC
ensembl:lncRNA